UAAAACAUCAAAUAAAGAAUUGAUACAUGCACACAGAUAGCAUAAUCAUAACCAGCAGAUCAUAAUCUUUUCAUAGGCACCUCACUCAACAACCUUUGUACAAUAUUUGCUGCAAAUAUAUAACAGUGGUUGCAACAGUGAUCUAUAU